rnacentral:rRNA from 1 species
GAUCUGGCUCAGAACGAACGCUGGCGGCAGGCUUAACACAUGCAAGUUGAACGGGAUUGUUAAGUAGCUUGCUAUUUAACAAGAGAGUAGCGCACUGGUGAGUAACACGUGGGAACGUACCUUUUGGUGGGGGACAACAUCUGGAAACGGAUGCUAAUACCGCAUAAGACCUGAGGGUGAAAGAUUUAUCGCCGAAAGAACGGCCCGCGGAAGAUUAGGCAGUUGGUGGUGUAAAGGCCUACCAAACCUACGAUCUAUAG